rnacentral:rRNA from 1 species
UUGACCUCGGAUCAGGUAGGAAUACCCGCUGAACUUAAGCAUAUCAAUAAGCGGAGGAAAAGAAACCAACAGGGAUUGCCCCAGUAACGGCGAGUGAAGCGGCAACAGCUCAAAUUUGAAAUCUGGCGCAAGCCCGAGUUGUAAUUUGCAGAGGAUGCUUUUGGCGCGGUGCCUUCUGAGUUCCCUGGAACGGGACGCCGGAGAGGGUGAGAGCCCCGUACAGUUGGACACCAAGCCUUUGUAAAGCUCCUUCGACGAGUCGAGUAGUUUGGGAAUGCUGCUCAAAAUGGGAGGUAAAUGCCUUCUAAAGCUAAAUACCGGCCAGAGACCGAUAGCGCACAAGUAGAGUGAUCGAAAGAUGAAAAGCACUUUGAAAAGAGGGUUAAACAGUACGUGAAAUUGUUGAAAGGGAAGCGCUCGUGACCAGACUUGCGCCCGGCGGAUCAUCCGGCCUUCUGGCCGGUGCACUCCGCCGGGCUCAGGCCAGCAUCGGUUUUCCUGGGGGGACAAAAGUGGCGGGAACGUAGCUCCUCCGGGAGUGUUAUAGCCCGCCGCAGCAUACC